ACCUCCACUCAGGCAAGAUUACGCCGUGAACUAAAGCAUUUCAGUAACGGCAGGAAUAGAAAAUAACAAUGAUUCCCUCAGUAACUGCGAGUGAAGUGGGAAGAGCCCAACGUUGAAAGCUGCAUCCCUAGCGGGAUGCCGCGUUGUAACGUAUAGACCCACGUAUCGAGAUGGUUACCUUUGUCAAAGUUACACAGAAUGGUGCGCCAGAGAGGGUGAUAGCCCCGUGUGUGACAUGGGUAUGCGGAUUUGUACCAUCAAGCGUCGUGGUGUCCAAGAGUCAGAUUGUUUGGGAAUGCAGUCUAAAUCGGGUGGUAAACUCCAUCCAAGGCUAAAUACAGACAUGAGACCGAUAGCGAACAAGUACCGUGAGGGAAAGUUGAAAAGUACUCUGAAAAGAAAGUGAAAAGUACGUGAAACCGUUGAUGGGGAAGCGGACGGUGUAAUCGAAGUAAUUAACUAAGGCACCCCAUACAACAGAUGAUGUGUGUACGUGAGUGCUGCAUCAUCUGAAUUUUAUGGAUUAUUGUUAAUUACGCGCUGAGCUCAUCGUUAGACACAACUGCCGCCCUGUGUGCACUGUCAAUGUGUUGUGAAUGCCUUUGCUAGGGCAAUUCGGAUGUGUUGGAGUGUAUACUUGAUAAAUAUGAGUGUGUUCAGGUGUAGUGAGAAACGAUGCUGUGCAUAUGCGUGUGUACACAUGUAGUAUUUGGCGUUUGCAUUGAUGAGAGAUUUGUUUGGCCAUUUCGUUUUGUGCAUCGCUGCCUUGAAUAAAGGAGAAACAGCGGUGCAUAAAGGUAUGGCUGCAGGUUUGUCAUGCGCCUAAACGUAUAUUACGUGUGUAUACGGCUGACAAUGGUGUUUACCACGCCGCGCAUGUAUUCUCAGCGAGAUAUGCCACUGUCCGACCCGUCUUGAAACACGGACCAAGGAGGAUAAUGCAUACGCAAGUCGAGGAGUUGAGAAACUCUAAGGCGCAACGAAAGUGACAGACAUGCAUACACACAUCUGUGUGUGUGUGUGUACGCGUGAGAACCUCGUACGUGCCUGCGCGCGCGUCUUGUGCGCGCGCGUAUGUGUGUUGUAAGCGAGGCGCAUCACAGGCCGGUUUGAACACUUGACUAGAACCGAGUUGAAGCGUAUGUGCUAUGACCCGAAAGAUGGUGAUCUAUGCAUGAGUAGAGUGAAGCCAGAGGAAACUCUGGUGGAGGCUCGCAGCGGUUCUGACGUGCAAAUCGAUCGUCAAACUUGUGUAUAGGGGCGAAAGACUAAUCGAACCAUCUAGUAGCUGGUUCCCUCCGAAAUAUCCCUCAGGAUAGCAAGAGCUCGGAUCCACACAGUUUCAUCAGGUAGAGCGAAUGAUUAGAGGAAUUGGGGUCAUAACUGGCUUCGACCUAUUCUCAAACUGCCAACUGGUGAUGACAUGCCGUGGCGUAACAGCCAACCUCCCCGGAAUACAUGUGUGUUACUUGAAUGAACACAGGGGCAUAACUCGCACGGCACUGUGCGUUGUUGAAUGUGAGAGCUCUUAGUGGGCCAUUUUUGGUAAGCAGAACUGGCGAUGCGGGAUGAACCGAGAGUUGGGUUAAGGUGCCCAAGUGAACGCCAAUGGACACCAUAAAAGGAGUUGGUCGAUGAAGACAGCAGGACGGUGGCCCUGAAAGUAGGAAUCCGCUAAGGAGUGUCUAACAACUCACCUGCCGAAUCGACUGGCCCUGAAAAUGGAUGGCGCUAUAGCGUUCCACCGAUACCCAACCGUAGAUUCGAGAAAUGUGCACAAUCUACGGGUAGGAGGGUGUGAUGGCUGCCGCGAAGAUUGAGUGUGAGCUCAAUUGGAGCGACCAUCAGUACAGAUCUUGGUAGUAGUAGCAGCUUAUUGAAGUGAGUGGCACAACCUUCAAGGCCGAAGUGGAGAAGGGUUCCUCG
rnacentral:rRNA from 1 species